GGCCACCUGCGAGAAAACAAUUCACGUAAGGUUUACUCUCCUCCCGAUAUUCUCUCACCCCAUCCGAUCAGGGGGAGUGCUGCAGCGACGGGAAGACCUAAGCCAGCCGCCGCCGCUGUUCCUGGGCAGUGUCGGUGGCGUCCUGAAGGAAUCAGGACGUCGAGGAGAACCUCUACCUCGACUACAUCACCCCUGCAUCAAGCCUGCACCAAGCAGGCGAUCAUGUCCACUGCCGUGACAUCUUCCGCUCCAUUCCGGUCCGAUACGAUCGAACCACUUACGGGGAGUAACUUCCCUCGUUGGAAGUCCCAAGUCGAAUUAUGUUUAGGUUGUAAUGAGUUUGACUAUGCCUUGAGGGAAGAAAAACCUGUGGUACCUGUGGCAGGUGUUACAGGGUAUGCAGAACUAAAGAAAGACUAUGAUGUUAAGAUGGAAAAGUGGAACAAGUCCAAC
rnacentral:rRNA from 1 species